rnacentral:lncRNA from 1 species
UGGCGAGGUUCGUCGGUGGUGAAAUCCGGCAGCGUGGGUGCAUGGAGACGGCGAAGCAAGUGGGGGAAAGAAGAGCGGGGGUUCCGGGCUUUAUAGUGACGCGGUCAGCGAGUUUCAGGAAGUUCGGGAGGGGCGGAUCCCGGAGAUGGCGGCGCGCGGUGUCCGACGGACUCGGCGGCGUGAUGCGGCCGGCUUUCCUAACGAGGAAGAAAGCCUGACAGGUAGGCCCCACCUGUCAGUGGCUGUAGGUGCGUGCGCGGGCCGGUUCGGCUAGGGUGGUUCGGGCGCGGUCGGUUCUGGGCCGGUUCGGCCCAAGCGGUCGGACCGGUCUGGUUUCUCUUUUUUUUUCUUUUCCUCAUUUCUUUAAUAACUUUUGAUUUUGAACACCAAAUUGGUCCAAAUAAAUUCCAGAAAAUUUGUAAAAUUAUGUUUUAUCAUGAUUAACCUUUUGGCAGCAAUUUCCCCUCAAAAUAAAAUAUACAAAAAUACAUUUGCCCUAUAAAUGCCUUUAAGGCUAAAUAACUAUUUAAAUAAAAUAGUUUUUCAACUCCAAAAAUUAUCCAAAAAUUAUGGGAUAGCUCAUUUAUGCAAUAAACCCCUUUUAUAAAUAAACCUUCUUGGUUUUAAGAUCCAAAGCUCAAAUGGGUGAAAACCCUAGGGUUUACUUUGAAAUAAAAAUCUUUUAAAGCCUUUUGAGAUUCAAAUUUGAAUUCAAAAAUGCAAAAGUGGCAUGAUGCUCAUGGAUGCUAUGCAUAUGUAAGAAUUUGAAAUUUUGGGAUCUUACAUCCAUGGACCACAUAGUUCGGGCGUUCCAUUUGGCAUAUCGCAUAUACACGGGUGUUGUGUCAGAGACUUGUUAGUGACCGUGCAUUCAUAUAGGAUUUGAGUCGUGGGGCUUGAAAACGCCAUGUCGCCCAAUCCCGCCGACACACGCCUUCGUGUGUUCUUUCUCGAGUGGCAAUAAGGGUUGGACGAACGUGGACGGGUAAAUUGGUGCACCCUGCAGGGUUAAAUUUUUCGGAAAGCCGUGUCCGCGGUUAUGGACGACUUGGUUGGUCAUUACUUGAUCAUAGAGAACUUAACCAACUUAAUCUCAAAAGAUUGAGUAGUAAUUAGCCUUAAUCAUGGAUAUGCUUAAAACUGCUUAAGUGUGAGUGCCUUUGGAUCAUUUCCUCAC